rnacentral:rRNA from 1 species
GACGAACGCUGGCGGCGUGCCUAACACAUGCAAGUCGAACGGAACUGUUUUGAAAGAUUUCUUCGGAAUGAAUUUGAUUUAGUUUAGUGGCGGACGGGUGAGUAACGCGUGAGUAACCUGCCUUCAAGAGGGGGAUAACAUUCUGAAAAGAAUGCUAAUACCGCAUGACAUAUCGGAAUCACAUGAUUUUGAUAUCAAAGAUUUUAUCGCUUGAAGAUGGACUCGCGUCCGAUUAGUUAGUUGGUGAGGUAACGGCUCACCAAGACCGCGAUCGGUAGCCGGACUGAGAGGUUGAACGGCCACAUUGGGACUGAGACACGGCCCAGACUCCUACGGGAGGCAGCAGUGGGGGAUAUUGCGCAAUGGGGGCAACCCUGACGCAGCAACGCCGCGUGAAGGAUGAAGGUUUUCGGAUUGUAAACUUCUUUUAUUAAGGACGAAAAAUGACGGUA